GAUGAACGCUGGCGGCGUGCCUAAUACAUGCAAGUCGAGCGAACGGACGAGAAGCUUGUUUCUCUGAUGUUAGCGGCGGACGGGUGAGUAACACGUGGAGAACCUACCUAUAAGACUGGGAUAACUUCGGGAAACCGUAGCUAAUACCGGAUAAUAUUUUGAACCGCAUGGUUCAAAAGUGAAAGACGGUCUUGCUGUCACUUAUAGAUGGAUCCGCUCUGCUUUAGCUAGUUGGUAAGGUAACGGCUUACAAGGGCAACGUAGCAUAGCCGACCUGAGAGGGUGAUCGGCCACACUGGAACUGAGCCACGGCCCAGACUCCUACGGGAGGCACCAGAAGGGAACCUUCCGCAAUGGGCGAAAGCCUGACGGAGCACCGCCGCGUGAGUGAUGAAGGUCUUCGGAUCGUAAACCUCUGUUAUUAGGGAAGAACAUAUGUGUAAGUAACUGCGCACCUCUUGACGGUACCUAAUCAGAAAGCCACGGCUAACUACGUG
rnacentral:rRNA from 1 species